rnacentral:rRNA from 1 species
UACGUAGGGGACAAGCGUUGUCCGGAAUUAUUGGGCGUAAAGGGCGCGUAGGCGGCCUUCUAAGUCGAACGUGAAAUCCCCGGGCUCAACCCGGGAACUGCGUCCGAUACUGGAAGGCUUGAAUCCGGGAGAGGGAUGUGGAAUUCCCGGUGUAGGGGUGAAAUCCGUAGAUAUCGGGAGGAAUACCAGCGGCGAAGGCGGCCUUCUGGACGGUGACUGACGCUGAGACGCGAAAGCGUGGGGAGCAAACAGG